ensembl:lncRNA
GGGAGAGAGAGAGAGAGAGGGGGGGAGAGAGAGAGAGAGAGAGAGAGAGAGAGGGGGAGGGAGGGAGAGAGAGGGGAGGGGAGAGAGGGAGAGAGAGAGAGAGAGAGAGAGAGAGAGAAUUUAAUAAAGUAUUUAAUUUCCUUGUUUACCACAACAAAUCUACUAACCCUACACAUUUUAUGAAUUGAAAAAUCAUGGUGGAGUAUGCAUUUUUAAAUUUCCAAUUGAUGUAAUCCAUUAAUGAUUUGACUUGUCUGAAUCGAAUAUGGCCAUUUCGUAUCAUGAGGGCGAAAGCAUAUAUUCCUGAACUGUAGGCUACACAUUUUACAUUGGAAACUAAAUUGUGAUUAUGUUCUAUUUUGAAUCAAAUGUUAUUCUAUUAUAAUGCGGAUAGUGGAGAAUAUUUAUUUAUUUGUAGAACAACAUGACAACACCCAAUUUUGAAUCUUUGUAAUUUCGUACAGGGCUGCUGUGGUAUAUUGCAGUGGUAUAUUGCAGCCUACUUUACUGAAGAAACAAGGUCUGAAAUAGAAAGAGAUGUGGUAGGGAAAGUCAUUUUAUGAUGGUACUGAAAUUGUCUAUCACACACUGAUGCAAUCCACAUCACGUUCAUUCACAAUGUGGUCGGCCAAUAAAUUAAAAGUUCUUCAAUAACUGUAUUUUCGCAAAGUUAUAAUCAUCAUAAUGAACAUAGACUGCAUUUCCAGUCAAAUCGUUUCAUUUCAGCUGUAAUGUCUUUCUUCCAAAUCUCUUUUUAAUAUUUUGAUUUCGUUGUUCCUGAUAGGAUGUGUCUUCAUUAGGGGAGUAGUGAAGGAGGACCACGACCAUUUCUGCUGUCUAAUAUCCAGCCGGGGUGACACCGUAACAGUGUCAAAUCACUAGUUUUAUUCCUCUCUUUUCCCCGUUGCAACCAGGGUUAUUUCAUCUCUGUAUUCAAUCAGGCCUUAAUGUCCCAAAAAUGCUGCAGUUGUAGCCUACCGUCCAAUGAGGCCUGCGUAUCUCAAAGCCAUAUCAAAGAUCUUGGUUGCAAAAUAGUUGCUAUAUUGCUGAACACUGAGAGCGGAGAAAUAAAAAACGUGUUCCUAAAGAAAGCUGAUAACCUCCAAGUGUGACAACGAGACAGCUGUGUUUUGCCCGGCAAUAGAAUUUUAAAAGGUUAUUCAAAUCAGAACACUUUGUUUUCUCUCGGAGCAUUUGAGAGUGGUUUGAUCAACACAGCAGCAGGCCCAUGAGAAACGGGUACAGGAGCAGACAGACACUGUCAUUACAGGAAUCACGAGGAUAAUGCACUUUACUGUUCGACCAAAAUCAUGGUUUUAGCCUCCUAAACAUUUUGAGUGAGGUGACCAUGUAGAAUGUGCAGCUCGCACUGAUGCAACCAAUUAAAAAUGUAACUCGCACAGCCAAGUCAAAGGGCCGCAAUAUGCGACUAAAUGGUGUCAGAACGGAGCCCUGGUGUGUGUGUGUGUUUACCGCAGAGGGCUGUGAAGACAGUAGCUGUUGUAGUUGGUUCUGGUGCAGUAAGAGCCUCUGCUGCUCAGACAAGGCACCCAACCUGAGUGAAAACACACAAAGCCAGACACGCAGUUAGAAAACUACAACACACACACACACCUGCUUUUAGCUGUAGCUGAGCUGAUGUAAUCCAAUAGGAAAGCAGGGAGGGAGAAAAUAUAACAACAUCAACUUGAAUCUAAAGACAGAGCGAGAAACAACCAUGUCAAUCAAUGGAAGGACAGAUAGGUAGCCAGCCAGCCAGACUACCAGGUAGCCAUGCAGCCAGCCAGCCAGACAGACUACCAGGUAUCCAUGCAGCCAGCCAGACAGACUACCAGGUAUCCAUGCAGCCAGCCAGCCAGACUACCAGGUAUCCAUGCAGCCAGCCAGCCAGACAGACUACCAGGUAGCCAUGCAGCCAGCCAGCCAGACAGACUACCAGGUAUCCAUGCAGCCAGCCAGACUACCAGGUAGCCAUGCAGCCAGCCAGCCUACCAGGUAGCCAUGCAGCCGGCCAGACUACCAGGUAGCCAUGCAGCCAGCCAGCCAGACUACCAGGUAUCCAUGCAGCCAGCCAGCCAGACUACCAGGUAUCCAUGCAGCCAGCCAGCCAGACUACCAGGUAUCCAUGCAGCCAGCCAGCCAGACUACCAGGUAUCCAUGCAGCCAGCCAGCCAGACUACCAGGUAUCCAUGCAGCCGGCCAGCCAGACUACCAGGUAUCCAUGCAGCCGGCCAGACUACCAGGUAGCCAUGCAGCCAGCCAGACAGACUACCAGGUAUCCAUGCAGCCAGCCAGACAGACUACCAGGUAUCCAUGCAGCCAGCCAGCCAGACUACCAGGUAGCCAUGCAGUCGGCCAGCCAGACUACCAGGUAGCCAUGCAGUUAGCCAGACAGACUACCAGGUA